AGAGUUUGAUCCUGGCUCAGGACAAACGCUGGCGGCGUACCUAAGACAUGCAAGUCGCACGGGUGCCCCUCCUUCGGGAGGGGACGCUAGUGGCGGAAGGGUGAGUAACGCGUAGGAACCUAUCGCCGAGUGGGGGAUAACGCUGGGAAACCGGCGCUAAUACCGCAUAGGGUCGCGAGAGUGAGCAAAGCAGCGAUGCG
rnacentral:rRNA from 1 species